GACGAACGCUGGCGGCGUGCUUAACACAUGCAAGUCGAACGAUGAAGCUGGAGCUUGCUCCGGUGGAUUAGUGGCGAACGGGUGAGUAACACGUGAGAAAUCUGCCCUUGACUCUGGGAUAACUGCGGGAAACUGUAGCUAAUACCGGAUACUUUCCCUGGUGGGCAUCCACUGGGGAAGAAAGAAUUUCGGUCAAGAUGAUCUCGCGGCCUAUCAGCUAGUUGGUGAGGUAAUGGCUCACCAAGGCGACGACGGGUAGCCGGCCUGAGAGGGUGACCGGCCACACUGGGACUGAGACACGGCCCAGACUCCUACGGGAGGCAGCAGUGGGGAAUAUUGCACAAUGGGCGCAAGCCUGAUGCAGCAACGCCGCGUGAGGGAUGAAGGCCUUCGGGUUGUAAACCUCUUUUAGCAGGGAAGAAGCGAAAGUGACGGUACCUGCAGAAAAAGCACCGGCUAACUACGUGCCAGCCGCCGCCGUAAGAC
rnacentral:rRNA from 1 species